ACAAAGGAACCCAGAUGUUAAAAAGGGAGUGCUUUGAAAUAUCCAAACGAGCCGCAGAUUGAGUCAUCUUCAGCUGCCAGCAUCAGAUCACUAGCAGCGUCUCGCAGGUACGACGCACAAUGACAGGAGGUGCGGGUUCUGCUGAGCACCGGUUAACAUCACUGACUUGGGACGAUAUGACAUUUCAGCCAGGCGGUCCUGGUUGAUGGGGGAGGGUCGUCACCUGAUUGAGUUCACCUGGGGCCUGAGACCAUAAAGCCUGGCCCAUCCACUCUGUUUCUCCCUUCUACAGAUGGCCUCUACUCUGACUUUGUUGUCUUCUGGUUUGUCUUGUGAUUUGUGUUCACUUUAGUUUAAAUUGUUCUGGUGUUAUGUAAAAUCUCUUGCGUGGCCUGCUUGUCAUGUUCCCUGAGUCAGUUUGUUACUCUACACACAACACAACGCAAUGACAAAGCAAAGACACUUUUUUUGGAGUGUUUUGUUCAACACUGAAAUAUCCCAUUUACACAGGCACUCAGACCCGUAGUUCUGAGCUCUGGUGCAUGCUUCUUCUAUCAAUGGUCCUUGAGAAGCUCCAGCCCACCCGUGCCUAACUGAUUUCAUUUGACAUAAUUAGGAAAAGGAAACACCUGUGUGGUCCCACAGUUGAUGGACAGAGUGAAAAGCAAGCCAUGAGGUUUUAUGUGUAGAGCUGUGAGAAAGGAUUGUGCAUUGAAAGAUCUGGGGGAGGAUACAAGAACCUUUCUCUAGCAUUGGAAGAGCAUUGUAGCCUCCAUAACUCUCAAAUGGAAGAAGUCUGGAACCAUCAACAGUCUUCUGAGAUCCGGCACCUGCCAAACUGAGCAAUCAGGGAUUAAGAGCUUUGGUCAGACCAAGAACAGUGACUAUGAAUGAGACCCUCCACCACCACACCAAUCAGGCCUUUAUGUUAGAGUGGUCAUAUGGAAACCAGUCACCAGUCCAACACAGUGGUGGCAGCAUGCUGUUGGGAAGUCUCUCUGUGAUGGGGGACUC